rnacentral:rRNA from 1 species
AUUGAACGCUGCCAGCAGGCCUAACACAUGCAAGUCGAGCGGAGCGGCGGAGGGGUGAGGAAUGACUAGGAAUCUGCCUGGUAGUGGGGGAUCACGUCAGGAAACGGGCGCUAAUACCGCAUACUAUCAGAUGAGCCUAGGUCGGAUUAGCUAGUUGGUGGGGUAAAGGCCUACCAAGGCGCCGAUCCGUAACUGGUCUGAGAUGAUGAUCAGUCACACUGGAACUGAGACAAGGUCCAGACUUCGACGGGAGGCAGCAGGGGUGAAUAUUGGAAAAUGGGCGAAAGUCUGAUCCAGCCAUGCCGCCUGUGUGAAGAAUGUAUACGGUUUUUAAAGCCGUUAACGUUAGAUGGCGUUGCCAAUAGAAUAAGCACCGGCUAAAUAAGUUGCAGCAGCCGCGGUAAUAC